AUCACCCUCCAUAUCGACGGCGACCUCCUUCUUCACCGAUCAACUUCAUCAGCCGUCACCUGUAUUUGUUUCGUAUGGACAGCCACGUGCUUCCCUUGAAGCAUUAACAAAAGUUGUCAGAGUCUGCUAGUAAGGUUAAUCUACCAUACUGAAUCGCAGGGUCCCCAGCCAUUUUCUAAACCAGAAGCAAAUCCACCCUAAUCCAGAAGGAAAAUCAUCCGAGUUACUACUGGUAAUGUCUACAACUUGUCCUUGUUUCAAAAGUCUCUUCCUUUUUUCUUUCCCUAUUGCAAAUUGCUUCAAAGUGUUUACCGUUGGUGGGCAGUGAUUGAAGCAGCAGCGCCUGAGCAAAAUGAAGACGAGUACUUUUGCCUUUGAUUCAAUGUGGAUUUUUUGGGGUAACAUCUGAUAAGCUUUCAUACAGUUAGUAUUUUCCAUUUCCAGUAAUAUGUGUUCUACGUUGCUUCCAAAACAUGUGGCUUCAAUCAUAAAGUACAAAAAGGACCCCCUGAAAGCAC
rnacentral:lncRNA from 1 species